UUAAUGACGUUGAACGGAAUAGUAGUUAUGUGCCAGUUAGACAGAGAAUUUCUGGUUGCUGGAAAGAAAUAGCGGUGCAUAGCAAAACACAUCUGCGAAUGUCUGUACAUUGAACAGAUUAGGUGUACACGGGAAAGCCCGUUACUGCUGUAGUUCUCUGAACUACCUGAGGCACUGACUUGUGAAAGCAGUGUAAAUUAGGGGUGGAAACACGACAGCAUCGUCCUCUUGAAGUGAUUAACUUCAAGGGGAUUUUUUUAUGAGAACUACCAGAGGCAUUGGUUGUGAAAUCAAUGCGAAUUGAGGUGGCACCACGACAAAACGUCCUCGAA
rnacentral:ncRNA from 1 species